rnacentral:rRNA from 1 species
GCAGCCGCGGUAAUACGUAGGUGGCAAGCGUUGUCCGGAAUCAUUGGGCGUAAAGGGAGCGUAGGUGGAACUUUAAGUCGGACUUAAAAGUGCGGGGCUCAACCCCGUGAUGGGUCCGAAACUGGAGUUCUUGAGUGUAGGAGAGGAAAGCGGAAUUCCCAGUGUAGCGGUGAAAUGCGUAGAUAUUGGGAGGAACACCAGUGGCGAAGGCGGCUUUCUGGACUAUAACUGACACUGAGGCUCGAAAGCCAGGGGAGUGAACGGGAUUAGAUACCCC